GCCGCCUCCCUCCCCCGUUUCUAUCUCCUCCGGUCGCAGCCGCCUCUCUCCCCCGUCUGGUUAGCUCUCCCGCCCGUUGCCGCCUCCCUUUCCCCCCUCCGGCGCCACCCCCGUCCGGCCGGGCACUCUCGCCCAUCCAUCCUCAUCCGUCUCUAUCUCGUGUGUAGUGCUGAGCUCCCCGACUUCCUCCACUGUCCUGCGGCUCACGGUUAAUCGAGUUCGGGAGAAGACCUGCGAACAUCAACCGGAGCAGCAGCAGGGAGAUCUGAAAACAGUCUCAUCGAGCCGAAAUCGUCUCAAAAAAACCAAAGACAAGGCUGACACAAGCUAAUGAUGGCAUCUUCAUCAGGUCAACCUGCGAAGCCUGGGAAGAGUGUUGGUGAGGAGUUCGUUGAUCAUCGACUGCUCAGUCGAAAUGUUCGUUAUCCUGAUUCAAAAAAUUUGCCAAGACCCCUGGACAUGGCGGCAUACUUCGAGGAUGAUCCUCCCUGUCAAACAACACACUGCACUAAUGUGGCAGUUGAGCAGCACAAUAAAAAACAGAAGGGUGGUAAGCUAAAGAUAAAGCGUGCUGUUGGAGUUCAUAGCAACAUGUUCGUUUUGGACCAGAAUGACCCAGUGAGUUAUUGGCAUGUUUACUUCAAAGGGCACGAUGGGAGAAGAAGAAGACGGUACAGGUACUUUGCCGAGUUGAGCGGGGUAAAAGGGCCUGAGUUGCUGACAUUUUGCGAAGUCGUGGAUAAAGCUAAUGUUGUGUACUGCCCGCACUGCUUUGGAGGAAUAUAUCACCCCCCAACCACAGAAUCCGGUUCAGCGUCGGAUCGUAGGCUGAACAGUGUAGCAUUGGGUGAAGCUAUACGUGGCCCCGGCAGAAAGAGAAAGGAGGCUGUCAGCUCCAUUGAUUCGAUUCAGGCCUAGAGUAUGUUUGGUUCCGGCAAAAAGAGGUUGUCAUCUCGAUUGAAUCGAUUCAGUCCCAGAGUACAAUGUUGUGAGUCUGCCUGCGUUUUGUGUAUAAAUCAGCUGAACUGGCAUGCUAUGCGAUUGUUCUGAAAUGAUGAAGAUACCAAGUGUAAUUGAACUAGCUUCUGACGCUUACUUUUAUGGGAGCGCCUGGAACUCAUUCGACUGAGAAAUAGAUUGGUCUCAGUUGAAUGACGUGGUGAUGACGUCGUUCGCUAUUUGUCUCAG
rnacentral:rRNA from 1 species